CCAUAAGGAUAAGGUGCCACUGGGUGUUUAAGAGGAGAGACAGAGGAGUCACCAGCAGACUGUGCUUAAGAAUGUCAACAGCAGAGCCUGGCAGCCUCUACCUCCUGAUGUGUUUCUUUGCUUAAAUUUGGGAUACUGGGUUUUUAUUUACCUUCAGAUGAAAUACUUGGUUGAAAGGGAUUCCACUAUACGGGACAGCAAUCAAUGGGAUUUUUGCAGGCUUGUUGCAGAUGUACAAGUUGGGAGGCAUCAUCAAUACAGACAAGGAUCAGAAUAUUAAACAGGAAGAUCUGGAUGAUCUUGAAGACUGGGAGUGACAGAAAUGGGAUAAAACUCAAUAGUACAAAGUCGUGCACUUAGGGUCUAAUAACAAUUUCUGCUACAAGAUGGGAGCUCCUCAGUUGGAAAUGACUGAAGAAGAGAGAGACCUGGAUGUGGGGGUCAAUCACAGGAUGACCAUGAACUACCAACACAAGGCGGCUAUGAAAAAAGCAAAUGGGAUCGGACCUAAGAUGCAUCAAGUGAGACAUUUCUAGUACAGAUUGAGAAAUAUUAAUGCCAUUGUACAAGGAACUGAAGGGUUAAGGCUAAAGCUUAGUGAGCAAGCGCACCUGCAGAGCAGCUGUGCCAUUUAGCAGUGGCCUGAGGGCAGCGGUGAGAGUUCCCGUUCCUGUGGGCAUGCAGCUGAUUUACUGGAAGCUUUGUUCUGGGAAAGGAUUUUCCACAUCACGAAGAUGUUCUCUGAAAAAACAGAUUUCAAGGUAAGAGAUUUCCACUAAGGCUUCCAAUAGAUAUUUGAAAAAAAGGGAAGUUAUAGCUACUGGAGAGUAUCAGAUAGGCCAGCCACAUCUGUCCUGUGGUUUACUUAUCAGAUGUAUCAAAAGGAUUCCCUCCAAAACCCACAAAUCAAAUAUUUAUUUAACUCCCUUGUACUUUCUACAGCUAGACAGACUCUGGACUACAUGAAGACUGACUGGAUUUUCAGUCCAGUUCCCAACAAACACCUACAACAUACACACACACACACACACACACACACAAUGUAAAGCAAAUAAUUAGCGAGCAUACUAGCACUAAUUGGUAGCUGUGACACAUGGCUAGAAAGGGUUAAACACCCGGCAAAAUAAAUAACCCUCAAAAGAUAUGUGGGGAGAUGAUUUUUGUGUUUUUGUGUAUUUACAUCUGUAUGAGUAGGGUCAACAAUGUAAUCAAUGGUCCCUGUCUAUGCUGUAUUCUGAGAAUUCGGAGGCCAAAAGAACAGCCUACCAUUUAAAUUAAUUGUAAACACAGGAUAUCUCGGUAUUCAUCUCUCUUUGAAAUGUACUGUGAAUGGUGGAGGAACAAGCAAAC